UGCGGGAUCGUCUAAUGGUAGGACACGGGACUUUGGAUCCCGGUAUCUAGGUUCGAAUCCUAGUCCCGCAGCCA
rnacentral:tRNA from 1 species